rnacentral:misc_RNA from 1 species
GAAAUGCGAUAAGUAGUGUGAAUUGCAGAAUUCAGUGAAUCAUCGAAUCUUUGAACGCACAUUGCGCCCUAUGGUAUUCCGUAGGGCAUGCCUGUUCGAGCGUCAUUUACACCUUCAAGCCUUGCUUGGUGUUGGGUGACUGUGGCCCCUUUGGGGCCACUCGCCUUAAAGUCAUUGGCGGCCGGUUCGUUGGCUUUGUAGCGCAGCACAAUUGCGUCCUCGAAGCCACUGGACCAGCUCCCAGAAGCUAAUUUUAAAUGUUUGACCUCGAAUCAGGUAGGGAUACCCGCUGAACUUAAGA